AGAUUGAACGCUGGCGGCAUGCCUUACACAUGCAAGUCGAACGGCAGCACGGGAGCAAUCCUGGUGGCGAGUGGCGAACGGGUGAGUAAUACAUCGGAACGUGCCCAAUCGUGGGGGAUAACGCAGCGAAAGCUGUGCUAAUACCGCAUAAGAUCUACGGAUGAAAGCAGGGGAUCGCAAGACCUUGCGCGAAUGGAGCGGCCGAUGGCAGAUUAGGUAGUUGGUGAGGUAAAGGCUCACCAAGCCUUCGAUCUGUAGCUGGUCUGAGAGGACGACCAGCCACACUGGGACUGAGACACGGCCCAGACUCCUACGGGAGCGAGCAGGUGGGGAAUUUUGGACAAGUGGGACGAAAGCCUGGAUCCAGCCAUGCCGCGUGCAGGAUAGAAGUCCGUUCGGUUAGUAAACUGU
rnacentral:rRNA from 1 species